UGUACUUGCCCGGUUAGAAACAACAUCGCAAACAGCCGGAUAGUAAAAGCUAUAUAGCAAAGACGGGCUAAAAGGUAUGCCGUGGGCCGCAUGCGGCUCUCGGAGAUACCAUAAUCGGCUCCCGAGAUAAUAGUGUGUCUCGGUGCUAUAUUUUGCGAAAAAAAAGUAUUACUAAUAAAUCCUUUGGCAUUCCUGCCAGCCGGGGUUUUUUUUAAGUAUAAACUAUAGAAAUUAAGACUAUAUAAAGAAAGGCCUUCAACAAGCAGAAUAAUCGAUCUCCUUGAUCACUGGAUUGCAGCCAUGAUGGGGCCUCUUUGAAGAGUUUAAUCAAACAAAUCAACACCAGUUCUUAUUUUAAGUCUGGACCUCUAAAGGAAAUACUACAGUAUUCAGCAUUCUAACAAAACAUCCACUUUAAGCCGGUAGAACCAUUAAUCCCAACAUGUUUCAUUUUCUUCUCUCUCUCUCUCUCUCUCUCUC